rnacentral:rRNA from 1 species
UACAGAGGGUGCAAGCGUUGUUCGGAAUUAUUGGGCGUAAAGCGCGUGUAGGCGGCUUUGCAAGUCAGGUGUGAAAGCCCUCGGCUCAACCGAGGAAGUGCGCCUGAAACUGCAGAGCUUGAGUUCCGGAGAGGAUGGCGGAAUUCCCCAAGUAGAGGUGAAAUUCGUAGAUAUGGGGAGGAACACCGGUGGCGAAGGCGGCUCUCUGGACAGGUACUGACACUGAGACGCGAAAGCGUGGGUAGCAAACAGG